rnacentral:tRNA from 1 species
GGGGGUAUAGCUCAGUGGUAGAGUGUGUGCUUAGCAUGCUUGAGGUCCUGGGUUCAACCCCUAGUACAUCCA